UCCUCUAUGGCACAAUUGGCUAGCGCGUCAGACUGUUACUAUUCAUAUGUAUAAUCUGGAGGUUCGUGGUUCAAGCCCACGUGGAGGAG